rnacentral:tRNA from 1 species
GGGAUGUAGCUCAGUGGUAAAGUGCUUGCCUGACAUGCACAAGAGGGCUGGGUUCAAUCUCCAGCCCUG